rnacentral:rRNA from 1 species
ACGGAAGGCAGCAGUGGGGAAUAUUGGGCAAUGGGGGCAACCCUGACCCAGCAACGCCGCGUGAAGGAAGAAGGCUUUCGGGUUGUAAACUUCUUUGACGAGGGACGAUAAUGACGGUACCUCGAAAACAAGCAACGGCUAACUACGUGCCAGCAGCCGCGGUAAUACGUAGGUUGCAAGCGUUGUCCGGAUUUACUGGGUGUAAAGGGCGUGUAGGCGGAGCUGCAAGUCAGAUGUGAAAUCCCGGGGCUCAACCCCGGAACUGCAUUUGAAACUGUAGCCCUUGAGUAUCGGAGAGGCAAGCGGAAUUCCUAGUGUAGCGGUGAAAUGCGUAGAUAUUAGGAGGAACACCAGUGGCGAAGGCGGCUUGCUGGACGACAACUGACGCUGAGGCGCGAAAGCGUGGGGAGCAAACAGGAUUAGAUACCCUGGUA